CUUAAACAAAGAGUUGAGGGCAUGGUUAAAGUAAAUGGUAACAAGACCAAAUACUAAGGAAAAAUGGGAUCGGACUUUAUUAACACCCUUUAUAUUAGUUGCAUAUCUAGACAUAGUUAAAAAGUGCAUUCCUGUCUAACACACGAUAGUGUAUCAUACAGUAUGCACAUUUUUUUUCUCUUCCUUCAGGUUUAGCUCAUAUACUAAAUUAUCUCUCUCCUAGGUGUCAUUUUAUACCUAUAUGUAAGCAUAUUCCACCAAUACAAAUUGCUCGUACACCAGAGGCUUGCCUCAGUUGCACGAGACAAUUUUUCUGGUUCCCGUGACCCCUCUUAUAGAUAUAUAUAGGAUAACGAUAAUAUCCGUAUAUUUCCAUACUCUGUUAGGAAUUAGACUUUACAAAAUCCAUCUACCUAUAUUAAAAUUUUGUCAAAUUAUGCUCAAAUUUGUUAGCAUAAGUACUCCGUAUUGUCAAAUAUCGGGUUAUAUUGGUUAAGUGGUUUAUUUUACCAAUUAGUUUAAUUUACCAACUCUGUUAAAAUAACACUACCUUUAAAAUCACUAAUAAUUGUAAACAACAAUAAUGCAGACCGCUAAAUUAAAUCUCACAUUUAAUUUUGGACCGGGGCCCGGUAUAAGAAAGUCGGAUAUUGUAAAGAACCCGAUUAUUUAGGUAUCACGUUGUCUUGUGUGAAAGUGAUUGACUCACUUUCUGUUGCAAUUUUUAAUUGCAACAUCUACUCUGUAAAGAUGUGAUCUUGGCCAACAUCCUGAUUGAAAAACUGGUUCUUUAGAUCUGCAACUCUCACUAUCUCCAUUUCGUAGUUGUGUUAGUGCUCAAUGAUUACUAUGUCAAAAAGGCAACUCUUACAAUUCUUACAACUCUUACCACCCAAUAACCGGUUAGACAUAUAAGUAGACUAAAUAGGUAUACGUAUAUAAGUAAGAACAAGAGUGACCAUCGACAGCGAGUCGACUGCCUGUAUCUUGAUACGUGCAAUAAAACCUGUCCUGACUUUGUCUCACCAAAUCUCACCUUGCCUCCAAGACGCAAUUUAUUUCCAUGUACAACAACGACGACGAUCGACUUGUUCAUCAUCUCUUCCCCCCCUAGCCGACGAUGUGGGGUCUCUGUGUGAACCACCGGAGUGGGACAUAACAGUACACGGCAUCAUAUCGUAAUUAAAAAAAUGUCAACGUGCACUCAAUUGUUUGAUACACUGUGUAAUGUAGUGUAAUGUAGGCCUCAAUCAGUGAAAGACAAAUUUUGUCAUAAUUUCAGACAUUCGACAGUCGACAGAUAACGUUAGCUAAAUUCUACAUAAUUUGCAGUUUUAUCCAGCACAACCGAAAUAAGUUAAUGCAUUUAUUAUUUCGGAGUAAUUCUUAAUUAUUGACGAUUUUCUUAUUCUAUCUACAUGUUUAUAUGCGCACGAUGGAUUAGAAUUUGGAAAAUGAAUUUCCAAAUUCAAUAUGCAUUAAUAGUAUUUUCAAUAAAUAGUUGCCAAUUUCA